ensembl:lncRNA
CCAUUUUCUUGUAUCUUCUUUAUUUUAUUUUUUUAAAGACUGGAAGUUCUUGUCAUAAAGGUCUUUCACAUGUUUGGUUAGAGUUACUCCCAGGAUAUUUCAUGUUGUUUGUGGCUAUUGUAAAGGGUGAUGCUUCUCUUAUUUCUUUCUCAGCCCAUUUAUCAUCUGUAUAUAGUAGGGCUACUGAAUUUUUAAUUAGUCAUGUGUCCUGCCUGCUACUUUGCUGAAUAUCCCAGCACUUCCUAUAAUACUCUUUUAAUCCUAGCACUUGGGCAGUGGAGACAGGACUGAUAUGACUACAUGGAGAAAGCAAUAUAAGGAGGAGGAGACAGGAACUCAGAGCAUUUUGCCUCUGAGCAUUCAUGGAGAUAGGAUCAGCCAUUUCUUAUGAAGUAGAGGUAAAAUCUAGUAGCUGGAUGCUUUGCAUUUAUGAUCUUCAGCUUGAAUCAAUAUCAGCCUCUGGGUCUUUUAUUGUUAUUGUUACACACCUGCUUGAAAGGAAAAUAUAUAAUGGAAGUAUAUUCCCUAAUGUCUUUAGGCAAUUGGAAGCCUGUGUUGUCUCCCACUAUGCUAACAACUGUUCUUUUCACAAGCUGACAUAAAAUAAUAAAAUAUCUUAUAUUCAAAGAAGAAAAGGAGAAGCAAAUUUCAUUUGAAGGCAAAAGAAAUUUUAUUGCAUGUUUUCUUCCCGAUAAGGAGGGGAGAGAGAAAGCUGUAGCCUCUUAUUAUUCAAUUGGAAUAAUUAAUGAUUUUUAUAGUAUUAAAAUAUGUCCUUAUAAGAAUAUGUUUUAUUAUUUCCAUGUUGAGACUAUACAAAUAUGAAUUCACAAAAACAUUGAUCUACUUUUAGAAAUUGAAUACCAGCAGUUUCUAUUCCAAUAAAGGAUGUAGUUUUUCACCAUAAUUUCUUUGCUGUUCUGUAUGUCGUGUUUGACUUCAUUUCUGGUUCCUAUGUCCUGUGCUUCCUUCAAUAAUAGUCUAGGCUCAAUGCAGGUGAGCCUCCCUGAUAUUUAAAGAGGAAGCAUUUGAGCACAUGAAUUUUGCAUUCAGAAUUGCCUUUUCCAGCUUGAGAUUCCUAAUCCCAAUACCUUUAAGCAUUAAAAUAUUUAUUUAGAAAAUCAUAACAAUUCUAUUAAAGGUAUGUCAUCUCGUUUCCUCAUAGAAAACUAUAUCUGAUACAAAAAGUACAUAUUAUUGAAAUAUUUAAACAUGGACAUAUAAUUCUAAACAUUAACACAUGUUCUUUUUGUUUAAAAUUAUAAAUUUAUAUAUAAAAUAUAUAUUGUAUAUAAAAUAUGUUAAAUUUAAAAUUAUAUAUCUGUAGGCAAGUAAUCAUUUCGAAUAAUCAAUACACUCAAAAUGAGGAGUGAUUUUUAUUUUUGCCAGAAUUUGAUUAUACAUAUAUUGUCCCAUAAUUUUACUAGUAACCUGUAUUAUUUUGCAAAUAAAGCAAUUUAGUAUUAUUUGAUGUGUAAAAAUAUUUAAAUAUGAAAUCAGAAUAAGAAUGUCAAGUCACAUGAGGGCUGACAGAUGUAUUAAAAAUGGAUAUAGAGCUACAUUUUAGUAGGUAUUUUGAUAUCAUAACCAUUUAGCAAAAUAAUGCUAGCAUAUUCUCCCUUAGGAGACUUGUUGAACAGAUUUUCAGUAUAAGAUAUGAGUUAUGUCCUCAGAAGUAGACCUUAAAUCCACUCAAAAUCUGAACGGUUUCCUGCAAUGUCCAUAAGACUAUUUCAGCAAUGGUCAUGUCAGGCAAAGCUGAGCAGUACAGAAACAUCACAGUUCAUAACUGGAAAAAGACAGUGAUUAACUUCUCCACUGUAGCAUAGAUAGCACUUUCUAGCACCAUGAAACCUAUACAGUAGGGAAACCACUUCAAUGUUGUUUCUAAUUUGCCUCCUAUAUAUUCUCUUACAAACUUGUUUGCUGUCUUUAGCAGCAGAACUUUGCCAUCAGGUUCUAGUGCUUGUACAACUUAAGAAUAAUUGAAGGUUUUAUUAUCUAAUAAACAACAUUAUAUCACACAAAUCUUCCUUAUUUAAAAUAUUUUAUAAAAUACAAGAAAGAUGAUUGGUACUGUGAUGCAUAUCUUCAAGACUAUGGAUAUUACCUAUAUUGUAGACUCUAAAAUAAUUUCCUUUGGCGUCUUUGGUUCAAUUUAGUAGCAGUUUAAGAAACAAAUUUCCAGGUUUUCCAUGAUUCUGGUCCAUGCUAACUAAUGGGACACAAGUGCCACCCAGAAAAUAUCAUUAAGGUGGUCCAAAUCAAACAUAUAAAUGGACUUAAAAUUGUAAUAUUUUUGGAAUUAAUCUGCACACUUAUUAAGUUUUAUCUCCAUAUAUGAGGACAUAUGUGACAAUAUACAAAAAUUUAAUGCAUCUUAUAGCUUAUGUAAGAAGUUUUCCAGCCUGUCUUCCAGUCAACAAUUAUAAAUGCAGUAAAAAAUAAUUACCCCUAACUUUUCUACAUCUUCCUACUCUGAAUUAUGGUUUGUCUUUUCCAAGAAAUAAUGAUGUAAAGAUAUUAAUGAUCACAAAUUAAUUACCUGGGUACAUUAUUAAGUGUAAAAUAGGUUAGAGUGUGUUUGGUUGUGAUUCAGACCAGUGAAGCCAGAACAGUCUGUAUGCAUGUUAGAGUGUGAGCAUACCAUUUUCCUUGUUACUAUAGGUACUGAAUCUGUCAGUAAAACUUCUUACUAUUCUUACGGUGGUAGCACACAUCUUUAAUCCCAGGACUUGGGAGGCAGAGGCAGGCAUAUCUCCGUGAGUUCAAGGCCAGCCUGGUAAACAGAGCAAGUGCCAGAAUAGGCUCCAAAGCCACAGAGAAACCCGUUUUCGAAAAACCAAAAUGAUAGAAUAGUGGCAAUGUUAUGAGGGGCUUUUGACAGCUAAACAUUUUAAUAAAUGCUUAGAAAAUAUGUUCAAUAAAUGACUUUUUCAUUUUUUGUUUUUCCGAAGUCAUAAUUCCUUCAUCUUUUGAAUUCUUAUUAGUAGAAAUUGGCUGUACUGAGAAUAACUUUUAUGACAUCAAUAGAUAUGUAAAAUGUACAUUAAUCAUAUCUGCUCCUUCUCUUUACUAGUUUUCAUAAGUCUGGUUAAGACCAGCACAAUUUCCUUAUUGUAUCAAGUAAUUGCUUCAUCUGUAAUUAGAAGUUUAAAUCCAUUUUCAUAAAAAUUGUAGUUAUACAUUCAGAUUCUCAAAUUAAUAUAAACAUACCCUCAAUUAUCUUCUUCCAAAUACGCUGUGUUUCCUCAAAUGCCUUUACACCAUCCAAUUAUAUUUGUCAGUGGACAGAAUUUUGUUUGAUCUGCUUUGCUUUUCCUUGGCUGUAUCAAGGUCCUGCAAACUGUACACAUCAUUAGUUUUUGUUUGUGUAAGGCUUCAGAUGCAACAUGCACAUAUUUGUGACAGAACACCUCAUCCCAUCUCUGCAAGGUCCUCAUCCCCUUCUUAAGCAAAAACAUUUCUUAGAUAUUUUAAUUAUAUCAUUCUCUUAGUUAUAAUCAAAAAUGGUGGCCAACUCCUAGUAUACCUAUUUAUUUGUAUCUCAGAAAUUAGGUUUCUUUGUUUGCUUAUCAGCAUAACUCAAACUGUCUUUUAUACCACUGUUUACAUUUUAGUAACUCAGAAACUUUAAUUUAACAUGGAAAUAUUUGUCUGUAAAGUUCUAUUUUCACCAAUAAAAACUGUCAUUAAAAUUCUGUGUCAGCUACUAAAAGUACUUAAAUGCAUCUAAUUAUUCUACAAUUUUAUGAAGUAAUCAUUUUAUACACAUGUUGAAUUAGUUUGUAAACUGUUGUUCUUUUCUUUAAAUGCAACUCUUUUUAAUGUGCUAAAAGAAUGUAAUGGUGAAUCUUUAUAAUUUUGACAGAAUUGAAGUCAUCAAGAAAACACCUCCUAGAAUAUUUUUUUGUAUAUAUUUCUAGAGAGGAUUAUCUUAGGGAGGAAGACAGUAGUUAGUGGGUUCCACACUAUUCCCAGGACAGGAGUCCUAGACAGAAUCAAAAGGUUAAAUUAAAAUGGAAAGCAUGAGUUGAUCUGAUGUAUUCAUCUCUCCCUGCUUCCAAACUAUGGAUGCAAUGUGUCAGUCACCCCACGUUACAAUGGCCAAAUCUUAAACAGUUCUUACCACCAUGUAUUCCCCACCAUGGUAGACUACACUCUAAAACUUUAAGAGCAAAUAAAUCCUUCCUUAAGUAGUUUUUGUCUAUUAACAAAUAUUGAAAUUUGACUAAAAGAAGUAGGAAUGAUGCUGAGAUUAAGUCAAUUAUGCUGCUCAUAGGGUUGAGGGACUGUGCUGAAAUUAAGACAACCAUGAUGUCUGUAGGGUUUAGGAACAGUGCUGAGAUUAACUCAAACAUGUUGUUUUGAACAGCUUAAGAAUAGUUCUUUCAUUAAGUCAACCAUGUUUUCUGGGCCUUUGCUAAUUCUUUCAUAAAGAAUGUUGAAGUGUAGGCUAGAAAAGUUCUAGAAUGCUAUAAAUAGUAUUUGGCCAUUAUCAUGGUCACUGGAUAGAACCGAAAAUCAAGAGAAACAGAAAGACUAGCAUUUGAAUUGGAAGUUCUUUUUACUAUUAUUUUAAUUUAGAAACAAUCUUAUUUUAUGUAUCAAUCCCAGGUCCCUCUCCCUCCCAUCCUUCCAUGGCCCCCACAAUCCCCCAUCGCAGCCCCUUCCCCCAUCUACUCUGUAGAUGGGUGAGGCCUUCCAUGGUGGAUCAUCAAAGUCUGUCACAUUUUGGGGAGGGCAUAGGCCCUACUCCAUGUGUUUGGGCUGAGAGAGUAUCCCUCUAUGGGGAAUAGGCUCCCAAAGUCCACUAGAGAUAAAUACUGUUCCUCUACCAGAGGCUCCAUAGACAGCCCAAGCCUCCUAACUUACAUCCAUAACUUACAUCCAUAUUCAGAAGGCUUACUUUGAUUCAGUGAUGGUUUUCCAGCUUUAUGACUGGGAUCUCUGUGCUCUCACUUUGUCAAGUCAGCUGUUUUUGUGGGUUUCUCCAGCAGGGUCUUGACCUCUUUGCUCCUCCCUCCUCCCUCUGUACAUCUGAGUUCAGCUCAGUGCUUAGCUGUGGGUGUCUUCUUUGACUUCCAUCAGUUACUGGAUGAAGGCUCUAGUAUGGCAUUUAAGAAAGAGAGCAAUUAAGGUAGCCUCUUCACUUUUGCUUGGAUUCUUAGUUGUGGUCAUUCUUUUUUUUUUUUUUUUUUUUUUGGUUUUUCGAGACAGGGUUUCUCUGUGGCUUUGGAGGCUGUCUUGGAUCUAGCUCUUGUAGAUCAAGCUGGUCUUGAUCUCACAGAGAUCUGCCGGCCUCUGCCUCCCGAGUGCUGGGAUUAAAGGCGUGCGUCACCAACGCCAGACUAGUUGUGGUCAUUCUUGUGGAUCCCUAGUGCCAGAUUUCUCUUUAAACCUACUUGGGUGGGAGGGAGCAGAAAUGUUCAGACUGCAUAUUAUUCUGACUAUGGUAUGUUCAUUGAUUCUUAUCCAGGUGUUCACUGUGACAAGAGUAGUAACCGAGACAGAAAGAGAAGAAAUAUACCUAAUUUGUCUCAGGAGCGAGUUCAAAGUUAUAGACAAGAGGGUUGCAAAGAAGAUAUCAGUAAUUCAUUAAAUAUUAGCACAAAUAAUGUGAAUCUAAAAUAUUCAAUGAAAUAAUGGAAAAUGUGUGUGAAAGAAGAGUCCUCACCCAACAAAGACUCCAAUUUGUAAACCUACGACCUCACUUGACACAAGUAAGUCUAUCCUGGAAAUGCAACAGAAGGCAUUCUGUUCAAAACGAAAUCCCCUAGGUUCAGAUACUAAGGUGCACAGAGGACACUACAGAACUGACAGAAUGAGACAGAGUUCAUCUCCAGCUGGCAGUAUACAGUGCACCAUUUAAGAGAAUGAUUUUCAAGUUUGUGAAAUGUAAAAUUUUUAAAAUCACGAAGACUUCUAUCAAGGUUCUAGGAAUUUACAGAGGACACAUAAUGCAUUCCAAGGUCUGAUAUCUUUCAGGGACCCAAAGAAAUCAUUUAAUGAAGUACUGUGAAGUUGCAAAAUAAAUUACAGAGAAGUUUCUACAAUGCAGGUGAUGUCCGGAUUAGAGACGAUUGUCAUGUAGGAAUAGUAUGCACGUGUUUUCUAAUAAAAACUAUUUUAUUAGAAAAUAGUUUUCCUUCAGGGAUAUAUUAAAUCUGGACUCACUUUUUCAGUAUUCUUUUGCAUUUAUUAAAGGAAAUAUAAUUAAUACAAAUAAAUUAUAUUAAAAUGUAGGACCUUGAUGUAUUGAACUGCAUCUUCUAGAAUGUAAUACACUUGUAGUUUAAAAAAUAUAUUACAAGUAGACAGCAGUUGUAUGGCUUCAUCUGUUUGGGGGUUCCCUGGCAGUGGGAGCAGGAUCUGGCCCUGAAUCAUGCUUAUUAUAGAGCAUUCUCUCAGGUGGGAUACCUUUCUCAAACUUGAUACAGGGGGUAAGGCCUUGAUCCUGCCUCAACUUAACAAGCCUGGCUUUGUUGACUCUCUAUGAGAGGCCUUACUUUUCUGAAGGUGUGAAUGGGGGAUGGGUUGGCAGGAAGUGCUAGGGGAGCAGGAGGAAGGCAGUUGGUAAGAAAAGAAAAAUAAAUAAAUGUAAAUGUAUUACUGCAGAUGGGAAAGUGUAGGAUGGCGAGCUGCUGGUGUAGAAGAGCUGUAUGUUGCAAGUGACAGACCUGAAGAGGUGAGACUGCACAACUCGUUGGAGUCCAGAGGAGCAGCAGAUGCUAGGCUUUGAGUUAGAGGACUCAACGUUUACCCCAUUGACUUGGUUUUGCUUUGAUCUGAAUGCUUUUUGAGGUGCCCUCAUUCUUCACCUUUGGAGGAAUAUCACUCUGUGCUAUCAUGUGCUACAUACAUUGUUUUUAUUUUAUAGGAUGGAACUGUUACAAAACUUAUGACUUUUGAAAGAUAUCCUAGACUGUAAAAGAGAUUUUAACAUUUUAAUAUUAUGUUUUUUACAUUAAAAAAGUGAGAUCAAAGUGUGGAAGUUUAUCAUUUAAAAAUCAUUGUGAUUUUAUGUCAAUUGGAAAAGAAAUAUAGGGUGAGCAUUAGCUUACUUUUGAAACUGCAUUAACAUAUAGAAUCUGGGGAAGAGAGCUUCAUUGGAGUGUUAUCUCUGCUGCCUAACCUGUGGCAGUAUGUGGGUAGAGGAGUAGUCCUAAGUUACUUCUUGUAGAGAGAUGCUGGCAGUGUGAUUGGAACCAUUUUCUAAUCAGCAGUAGUCCUGAACUUUAUAAGAGUGGAGAAACGGAGCUAAGAACAUGUGCGCAUGCAUGCAUUCAAGUAGCUAUGCUCCUGACUAUAGAUGGAACAUCAAUAGCUGCUGAAGUUCCUGCCUUGACUUUCCCACAAUAACGAAAGAAUGAAAAAUUACAAUGGAUUCUUCAUGAUCUAAUAAGGCAAAGAAAAUAUUGGGGAAUAUCUUUUUCAUUUCAAGAUGAUGUCAAUUUACUUGAAUUUACUGUAUUGCUAAUGUAGAGUAAAAAUAUAUGAAGAAAAGACAUUACCUAUAUAAGCCAACUUCUUUUCUGUAUCAGCAUGUAGAUUUGGAUAUAAUGUUACUCAUCUAAUAAUAAGGCUCAUUGGGUAAAGCAGCUGUUGUUGAGUCUGAUGUUUUGAGUUCUAUCCCCAAAAGCUAAAUAGGGAGAAAUGAGAACCAACUUCUACAAGUUGUCAUCUGAAUUUCACAUUGUAUUUUGGCAGGUAUGCACACACACACACAAGGAAAUAAAAUAUAGUUUCAUUUUCCUUUAGUUUCCAUUUCCUUUCCUUUACAUUUUCUUUUUCUUUAGAUUUCACCUUACUGGUAAUGAACAUUUCUGAUAAUCACUGUAUCACAAACUAGCUAUAAUCUAGAAUCAAUCUAGAGAUCAGUAUUAUUUCUGUUCCUUAUUAUCAUAUCUAUACUACACAAAACACUCUGAACAAAUAAAAUACAUUACUGAAACUAGUGAGCAUGGUAAUCCAGGAAUUUUAAUACAUUUAUAUAACUGAUACAACAGAAUUUAUAUCCAAAAUUUGUAAGACCUAUUAUAUUGAUUUCUACUUUUAAAAUACCAUUUAACUUUUCAAUGUGAAUGAUCUCCUUCAAAAGAAAUCUAAACAAUAUCUAAGAAAUGGACAUUUGUAAUUCUAAUCACUUCCCUUUAAUGUGAUAUAUGAAGCAUAAAUGAAAAGAAGACUAUUGUACUACCAUGAGUAACCUUGAACUAUCAUUCUUAAUAAUGAAUUAUUCUUAGAGUAAUGAUAAGAUCAAAAUAAUACAGUGUCCUUUGCAAUGAUACAUAUGAUCAGGCUAAUUAUACUAUAUUUGUUCUAAUUAGAAAAUAAAUUAUACUAUGACAGGAAUUAAAAUAUUAAAGAACAAAAGAACAUUAAAGUCUUGCUAGAAAAAAAUGCCCUCAGAGGAAGGAAUGAAUUAUUAGAUUAUGAUAUUUUGACAACAUUUGCCUGCAUUCAAUUUUAUCUGAUUUAUGAUGAUCACCAAACAGACCUGUACUACUUAAUAAAGCCAAUUAAGAAUAUAAGUAUGGUUUGAAUAAGUGUCUGAAAGAAAGAUGCAACAUUUCAGAAAAUGGUCAAUUUAAAAGUAACUCAAGUAAAUUCCUUUACUUUAUUUGCCACUUCACAGGAUCAGAAGUGGCCAAAUAUAUAAUUAGUGAUUAAAAGGACAACUGCCCACUUAAACAUGAAGAAUAAGGAAGUAACCUUCAACUGGAGCUGGCUUACAGUAUCAAAGGCUUAGUACAUUAUCUUCAUGGCAGAGUGCAGGCAGACAUGGAGCUGGAGAAGAGGGUGAGAAUUCUGCAUCUUGAUCCCCAGGCAGCCGAAGCCAUUGCCCGUGAGAUCCAGCUUGAGCCUACAUGAAAUCUCAAAGCCCACCUCCAUAGUGAUAUACUUCCUCCAACAAGGCCAUAAUUCAACAAGGCCACACCUCCUAAUAGUGCCAUUCACCCUGAGCCAAGCACUCAAACACAUGAGUCGAGGGGCCAUACUUAUUCUAACAACUUCAGUAGGUGUAUCAUUGACUAUAUCCAAUGCGUAAUAACUUGUUAUGAGUUCAUUAUGUAAGUUUUAUUGAAUUUUUGAUUUACAAAGUAGUUACACUGAUUUAUAUAGUACAGUGUGCAUUCCUGUUCACAUUAUGUAAUGACCAAACAAGAGCAAUUUGUCCCUCCAUCUUCUCAAACACAAGUCAUUUCUCGGUAAUAAUUUCAUCAAUACUUUUUCCAACUGUCUUCAACUAAAUAAUAUAUUAAGGUCCGUGAAUUAAUUUUUUUCACUUUAAAAAUGCUACUAUUAAUUCAUUUCCCUUGUAUCUAGAAUGGGGUACAUUACAACCUUUACCCUAGGUAGAUGAUUUAAUGUCACCUGCUUUGUUAUGAUUCUAUUUUCUCAUUUUCUGGGUUUCACAGGUUGAAGAUCGUAUCUCCAACUUAUUACUGCAUUUGUCUAGAGGCACUGUCCUGAUUGAAAUGCCAUUAAUCCUCUGGGAAAUAAAACUAUGGAUUUGAUGGGGAUGCUGCCCACACAUUGUUGAUGGAACCUUUGGCUUUGUUACUGUGGCUGUCAAAAUAAACUCAUAUGAAAUAUGAAAAGACAGACUUCUCAUUUUUAGAUGCCAGAUGCCCUUCUAUAACUCUCAAAGUAUUUUCUAUUCAUCAUAUACAGGAUCUAUAUUUUCUCUAUCACAAGGCUAUGAAGUAAAUACUAUCUAGCAAAUGUGUACAGGUCACAGGAAAAUUUGUUUAUUAGCACAGCACACGCCUGCCUCAAUCCCAUACAUAGUUAUUUCUAGUAGCAACAUAUAUUUAAGUUUAAUGCAUAUAUUUAUAAUAAUGUGACACUGUCAAUUCUUUCUAAACUGGAAAUUCAUGAUGUCACCACUGUACAUUCUUUCACAUAUGCAUAUAAAAUACUAUUUUCUCUCUGAGUUUGGGAAUAGCAUUAACUAUAUGCCUUUGGGGGCUAGAAAUAAGGAUGAGUCAGUUUAUUUUAUUUUAAUUUAAUCUAUUACUUGAAUGUAAUACAAAUGGAAAUGUAAAUACUGGGCCAAAUUAGUAUACAUAAAAUAAUAAAUUUGAAUGUUCUAAGCGAUUGAUAAUUUUUAACUGAUGUACCACUGUUCCAUUUUUGUACUAUAAAUGUAAUUACAUUCUCUUUAAAAUAUUGCAAAUGUUUAUAUUAGAUAAAAUAAGCAGAAUAUUGAAAAUAAGUUUGAACUUGGGGUCAUCUUUAAUCCAUUAUCAUCUGGCUUGCUUAUUUUGUUUUGUUUUCUUUUGUCAGGUAAACAGUAUAAUAUAAAGUUAUUCAUCUGUGGAAGCUAUAAUCUGUGCACUGCUGUUUCCUUGAUGAGCAAACACAUUCUCUGGA